UACAGAGGGGGCAAGCGUUGUUCGGAAUUACUGGGCGUAAAGGGCGCGUAGGCGGCUUUGCAAGUGACGGGUGAAAUCCCUCGGCUUAACCGAGGAACUGCCUGUCAAACUGCAUGGCUUGAGACCGGGAGAGGUGAGUGGAAUUCCCAGUGUAGCGGUGAAAUGCGCAGAUAUCGGGAGGAACACCGGCGGCGAAGGCGGCACUCUGGGCUGGUACUGACGCUGAGGAGCGAAAGCGUGGGGAGCAAACAGG
rnacentral:rRNA from 1 species